rnacentral:rRNA from 1 species
GACGAACGCUGGCGGUAGGCCUAACACAUGCAAGUCGAACGGCAGCACAGAGGAGCUUGCUCCUUGGGUGGCGAGUGGCGGACGGGUGAGGAAUACAUCGGAAUCUACUCUGUCGUGGGGGAUAACGUAGGGAAACUUACGCUAAUACCGCAUACGACCUACGGGUGAAAGCAGGGGAUCUUCGGACCUUGCGCGAUUGAAUGAGCCGAUGUCGGAGUAGCUAGUUGGCGGGGUAAAGGCCCACCAAGGCGACGAUCCGUAGCUGGUCUGAGGGGGUGAGCAGCCACACUGGAACUGAGACACGGUCCAGACUCCUACGGGAGGCAGCAGUGGGGAAUAUUGGACAAUGGGCGCAAGCCUGAUCCAGCCAUACCGCGUGGGUGAAGAAGGCCUUCGGGUUGUAAAGCCCUUUUGUUGGGAAAGAAAUCCAUCUGGUUAAUACCCGGGUGGGAUGACGGUACCCAAAGAAUAAGCACCGGCUAACUUCGUGCCAGCCGCCGCCGUAA